rnacentral:rRNA from 1 species
UACGAAGGACCCGAGCGUUAUCCGGAUUUAUUGGGUUUAAAGGGUGCGUAGGCGGAACAGUAAGUCAGUGGUGAAAGCCUGUUGCUUAACAACAGAACUGCCAUCGAUACUGCUGUUCUUGAGUACAUAUGAUGUGGGCGGAAUGUGCCAUGUAGCGGUGAAAUGCUUAGAUAUGGCACAGAACACCGAUUGCGAAGGCAGCUCACAAAAUUGUUACUGACGCUGAGGCACGAAAGCGUGGGGAUCAAACAGG